rnacentral:rRNA from 1 species
UGGGGACUAUUGCACAAUGGGCGCAAGCCUGAUGCAGCCAUGCCGCGUGUAUGAAGAAGGCCUUCGGGUUGUAAAGUACUUUCAGCGGGGAGGAAGGCGAUGCGGUUAAUAACCGCGUCGAUUGACGUUACCCGCAGAAGAAGCACCGGCUAACUCCGUGCCAGCAGCCGCAGUAAUACGGAGGGGGCAAGCGUUAAUCGGAAUUACUGGGCGUAAAGCGCACGCAGGCGGUCUGUCAAGUCGGAUGUGAAAUCCCCGGGCUCAACCUGGGAACUGCAUCCGAAACUGGCAGGCUUGAGUCUCGUAGAGGGGGGUAGAAUUCCAGGUGUAGCGGUGAAAUGCGUAGAGAUCUGGAGGAAUACCGGUGGCGAAGGCGGCCUCCUGGACGAAGACUGACGCUCAGGUGCGAAAGCGUGGGGAGCAAACA